GGAAGGCCCCAGAGACCAGGGGCGCCGGUGCAGGGCCUGUCUGCUCCUGCCUAGCAGAGGCGGGAGCACGAUGGCAGCAGCGGGAGGAGCAACGGGCUUGGCUUUGGAGAGAGAAUAAAGAAUCGCGGAGGCGCCUGCCCACCUCCAGUGGCAGUGGCGGCGGCGGCGGCAGCAACAGCGGCGGCAGGCAGUGCAGCUCUUCUUGUCCUCGCUGGGCUGGGGCAAUUUGGGGAACUCCAACAUGGACCUGGGCAUUUUCCAGAAUGAUCAAGAACAGCCAGCUGAGCAGGUACUGAUGAAAAGGCAGUGAAGGUAGGACAUUCAUGCUAUCCCUCUUGUUCCUUAGGUUUACCCAAACCCAGCUUUGCCAGUCCCUACUUAUCUCCAGGAGGAAAAGGAAGGAGCUAGGUGACACCCACCUGUGAUCAGUGAGUGCUUGGUAGCAGCAACCACCCACUAUUCCUUUCAUUCACCUUUAUCCAAACUCACUGCUCCUUGGAAAGCCACUAAAACUACCAGCAGGACUCUGUUGAGGGUACCAGCAACAGCAGAUGCCCCACGAACCCCACAGGGAAUGGUUGUAGAAUGGUGAUUGGACAUGGGCAAGAAGGAACUGAUGGAUUUAAUGAUGGAAGACACCACAAGCCACUUAUUAUACCUGAUGGCUUCUUUUCCACAGUAGGAGACAGAUUCUGAGAUCACAGUCAUGCAUUAUCUGUGCCGAUUUCUGCAGUGCUGGGGAUGGAACCCAGAACUUCAUGCAUGCUAAAAUACUCUGGGAGUGCCAUUCCCUCUACCUGGCCUCUUGAAAGCUUCCUUCUCUCUGAAGAACCAAUUGUUGAAGGCUUUGGAACCACCUAAUAGAAGUGGCAUUUUCUCUAACCCAACAAACUAGUCACUUACUUUCUGUGGCUUGCUAAGACAGAUUUGAAACAGAAGUAGGGUGUCCAGCCCCCUGUGGUCUUCGGCCACCACCAUUGAAUGAAUAUAUGCAGGCAGCUGCCAGGCUAUGCUGUGAUUGGGAACCUGAGUUUUGUAAUGUCUAUAUGCCCUGCAAUGUAACUCAGAAUAAAAACAAUAGCCACCAUGAAAA